rnacentral:misc_RNA from 1 species
GUGCCAACCAAACCAACAACCUUGCCCUCGUCAAAAUCAAAAUCAAUUAAAGGGGCUUUAUCGACAAGGAAAUAUUCAUCCAAACAUUUGCAGCUUUCUGCCGACCAGAGACGCAUGACCUUGUCACCCACACCGGUAAGGACUUUUCCCAUCUUCAUUCUGCACUGAUUUACCCCUACUGAAUGACCUUUCCACUGAAUAACAUUAGCAGGGCCCCUUUGUAAUGCCAAUUUGUGUUGUUCCAUAGCUAGCUGCUCCGCUUGUUCACUCAAUGAUCUCUGAGAGAAAGGUGCGUCAAUGAGGCCAUUAGGACCACUAUGCUGCUGCUUGAAGUAUUCUGUUUGAUGCAACUUCAAUUUGUUGACAGCUUUACUCCAAGAAGUAGAAACGGCGGAGCAGCGAAUGAGCUGGACUAAGUCGAGAAAGGAGAAGAUGAUGCAGAGAACGUCGUGGCCGAGAGCUUCUGCUGUUGUCUUCUUCUUUUUGUUCUUCACGGUUGCCGUAGCCGUCGUGGACGGCUGCCGGAUUUUUGGCGCCGCUGCCCUGGGGUCCAUUUUCGUUAUAUCCGCCGGUUGUGUGGGCA